rnacentral:lncRNA from 1 species
UCAGAAAGGCGAGCUGAGAUUAGAAAUGGGAUAGGAAGGGGUGAAGUCCAAAGCUUGGAUAGAGACAGUUGCUGGGAGGAGCACCCAGUCAUGAGGCUGGAAUUAAGCCCAUGGCGGUGUCAGCUGGCAGCCAAGCUGUAGCCACAUUGUCUGUGUGCAAAUGGUGUAGGUCCCUUCUCUCCUCUUUGCUUGGCCAAGAUGUCACUUCCUCCAGGAAGGGCUCACUGACUUCUAGUCCAGGCUCCAUCUCCCUGUGCUUUUCCUGUGAUUGUUGUGAUCAUGGCCAUUCUCAUCACCAUUGGAGCACCUGGAGUGUUCCAGACCUUGUGUUAUGGCUUCUCAUGGCAGAGUCUCACUCAAUUCCAGUGCUUUCAGAUUGAAACUUCAGUGGUCUUCAGAGGGAGAAGAGGGGUGUGUGUGGUGUGUGUGUGUGGUGUGUGUGUGUGUGUGUGUGUGUGUGUGUGUACAUCUGCAUGUGCCACAAUAAUUAAAAUUUGAGGCAGGACAUUUCAAAUUGUCAAAGAUUCAAAGUUAGGCUGAACAGAAUAUGGUUUCAGAAUUAAGUGUGUUGCAAGUUUUUGAAAAUUUAGAUGCCACUCAAGUUAGCGGUACACAGGUGUUGGCUAUAGUCAGAGUUCAAAGGGUCUGGAUUUGUUGCUUGUUCUUUGUUCUCAUCCUCAAGACUGCACAUGGCAAGUCCCACUGUGGGUCCCUGCAGCUCUGGACCCAUUUUCCUGCUUCCCUCUUGGGUCCCCUGCUUGAUCACACCCUGGGCCCUCCUUGUGGCUCUAUCAUCUCUUUGGAUUCAGAUUUAAAUGAAUCAUUUACUUACAUUUUAUUCACAAUUUUUAAUCAUUCUACUAACAACAUUUUAAUAGCAUUAAAUGAUUGCAAAAUCUAAUAAAAACCAAUCUUAACCUCCCUGGAAUCUCAUUAAGAAUAGGGCUGCUCUUUUUGCUAAAUUGUUGAAGAUGAUUUUGUCGGGUUUUGUUUUGUUUGCCCUGCCCAGGAGAGCAGAGGCAUAGAUGGAGUCACAGAAUGUGGGUUCACACACUCAAUUUUUUUUUUUAAAUCCCCUUUCCUAAAUUUACAGAUGAAGAAACUGAAGUCCAAAGAAGGGAGAGGAUUUUUCCAAUGUCACACAUGAAACAUAUGGCCAUUAAGAACCAGCACACAGGCCUCCUGCCCUUUAGUCUAGCAUCUCCCUACAAGAUCUGGGCUUUGGGCUCAGGCAUUGAGUUAUGGAUUUUGACGAGCAUAUUGUCAAUUGAGCGAUCACUAGCUGAUCAGCUGAGCACUUAGUCACUGAGCAGGUUUGGAGCCUCCGGGUGGACACCGGCAGGUUUGAGAGACACAGAAGAAACAGGACCUGCCCUCUGGAAAACUGCAAAGCCUCCAGGGAAUGAGGUUUAUAUGUAAACGACGAGACACAGUUUCCUUAAGUGCUUGCUGUGGUCAUGCUGCUCGCCUCAUCUUUCUAGCCUCGGCCUGAGGGUGGUGUCUCCUCCAGCUCUGUUCAGUACAGGCAGGUACUGUAAAGGCUUCCCAUGGCCCCAGCACUGAGACAACCAUGAACUCCUCAUCCACUGUAAUCAACAACAUCUCCAUCAAAACGACUCACUUGGUAGGACUGGGAAGUUCAUAGGCCAAAGGGGGGGGGGGAAGAAAGCUCAGGCAGGAAGCUGUUUUAUGAUUUAUGAACACCCAAAUGCUGGCAUCUCUCUCUCUCUCUCUCUCUCUCGAAAAGAAAAAAAAACCCACUGCUAAUAUUAAUAAUUAUGCCAGCUUUUGUACAGCACUUUGCAGCUGACAACGUGCUUUUGAAUCCAUUAUCUCAUCUCAGCGUGUCUGUGGGAGACUGGAGAAGUGGGAGCGCACUGAGGCUGGCAUCUUUGGGGAAUUAGCAGCCUUUGUUUCCCUAGGAGGCCAGCUCGGCAAGGUGGGUGGGUGCUGAAGUUAUUCUUGCUCUGAAUGUCCAGCCUAGGACGACCCCCUGAGUGUCUGUUUUCCCAGGGAAACUUUAGCAUGUCUCUCCAGACCAUAAGCCGGGGUCGCUCCGCUUGUCCUGCCUGGAGCUUCAUUUCUCCUUGAGCUGAAUGCUUAGCUGGUCCUGGACAUCCUCUCUGGCCUUUACAGGCCACUCUGAGAAAGACUGGGCUCUGUCCUUGUGGCCGUAGCUGUGGGAAGAGUCCUCCUUCAGCACAGCUGGACUUCCACUGGGGCAGAGUUGCUGCUCCUGAUCAGACUUAGCCCUGAGAUUCCUGCUGCCACAUGUGUCCAUUUAUGACAGACUCUUUAGACAGUGAAGGUGGUGGAGGAGCUGAAAUGUAUCUGGCAAGUAUUAGCAGCUGUGGGAAAAUGCAGCUUUAAAAAAUUUUUACCAGAACCAGCCUCAUCUUGCUUUUUUGCUGAUGGCAGGAAAGACAACAAUAACAAAAACACAAAUAUCACCACCACUACCACCACCAAAAACAGCCUUUAUCUUGAACAAUGAAGGUAGCAUUAUUUCUUCUAGUUUAAAGAGAGCCUCUCCUCUGCCCUGGUAGAGAACUCCGUUAAAGUACAUAUUCUCCUUUAGGUCCGUGAAUCCCCUCAAGAGGGCUAUUCUCCCCUUCCUCCUCCUGCCCACUUGCCUAGGAGGAUGUUUGGAUUCAGGACAUCACCUCCUGGCUUUGGUGGGCUUGCCUAGUCCAUUCAUGGUCCUCUGGCUGACCUGCUUGCCCACUUGUCCUGGGGCAGCCUCUGCCUCACCAGCUCCCACCACUGAAGUGUCCACUGAUGGGGACGGGGAGUCGGGGGGGGGUGCUUGUCAUCUGUGCUCUUGGCACAGGCAGAGCAUGGUGGUUGACUCUGGGGCUUGCCAGGAGAGAGCUUCUUGGCUGAUGCAACACUCCUGGGGCAGCAGGAGACGAGGGAGGAGAGUGCCAUCUCCUCAGCCACUUCAAAUUUACCACCCUAUGCUGUGAUGGACUCCUUGCCUAAGAGAUGGUGUUUCUCCAGACUCUAUGAUUUCCUGAGAUAUGCCCUGGGUAGUUGAGAUAUACAAUGGAAAAUUAUUCAGCCAUAAACAAUGAAGCAAUGCCAUUUGCAUCCAUAAGGAUGAAUCUAGAGAUUAUCAUACUAAAUGAAGUAAGUCAGAGAAAGACAAAUAUCAUAUGAUGUCACUUGUAUGUGGAAUCCAAUAAAAUGAUACAAAAGAACUUACGUGAAAGACAGAAACGAACUCACAGAUUUCAAAACCAAUCUUAUGGUUGCCAUAGGUGAAACCAUUGGGGAGAGGGAAGAAUUGGGAGGGUGGGAAUAACACAUACUCACUGCUGUAUAAAACAGAUGAUUGACGAGAACCUACUAUAGAGCACGGGAAAAUCUACUCAAUAGUUUGUAAUAACCUAUAUGGGAAAAAAGAGGGAUAUAGUCAUACAUUUUUCAGGCAGUUGGGAGCAUUGUUAUGUUGCAUCCGGCUUCUCUAAUCUCCUCUUUGAAGCCUUCUUCCACCUUCACGGGCAGAAAACCUUUAUCGUCUAGCCUGGCAGAAGGGAUGCAG